UUUCUCGAAUAUGAGUAAAGGUUGGGCAUUUUUGCCAGUCUGCCUUGCCACGAAGCACGGAGGUUGACACACAUUGGGACUUUCUCGUUAUCAAGCAGUGAUGUUGUUCUUUUACCCUUGUGGGUAAUAGUAGGGUAGCUGGACCUUCAAAAUUUAUGUGUCUAAACUUUGUCAGACAUCUUUGGCAAAUUUAUUUGUGGUACCCGAGGAGCUAAUGUUGCGUGUAGAGAGUGGUGCCUCUUCGAAAUCCGAAGAGUAGUGCCUUUUCAAUUUUUAAACCAACGGCCAUGUUACCCUUUCUUUUAUAAAGGCACCA
rnacentral:lncRNA from 1 species